GAAAUCACUGAAAAGCUCUCUUCUCAAAUGGUGAGCGCCGUCCUCCUCUGAUCUAUCCAUUCUCGUGAAUUUACCUCUGCUCCUCUCUCUGCUUACAAAAUGAUUUUUGUGUUCAUUCGAGAGCGCUGUUAAUUAGGAGAAUAAAGAAUGGGAGUAGAAAGCUAGAGAAAUGCGUAUUUUGACUUCUUGUGAAUAUGCCAUUUUGGUUUCUGUUUUCUCAAAGGUGCUUCUUUUAAGCGAAUUAAAACAAUCUUUCAUUCUCCGUAUUACGCAAGACCGAAACCUGCAAAAGUAUUUUGGGCUACAUUAUAUGGAUGGUUGGGCUUAAAGGUAAUGAGCUAGGCUAUGAUGUUGGGUUUAUGGAUUUUGUGAAUUGUAUGCUUGUGAUUAAUUGGGUCUAUGAUAUGUGGGAACUUUUCUUGCUUCUCUUUUUGGAUCUUUUCUUCUCUAGAAUUGCAAGUGCUGUCAAUGCUAUUGUCUAGAUAUAGUUUGGAGUGAUAAGUAGUUUGUGAUUUUGUUGCCCUAUUCAAGUCUUCAAAUUUGAUGCUUUUGCUAAGAGAUAUGAACUAAACAUUGUUGUGGGAUUUUUGUAAGAAUUAAUCAGUUAUGUUCCUUUAAAAAAAAAAAAAUAAAUAAAAAAUUCUAAGCAUGAUUUUGUGUAUGGGCUGAAUUUGGGUAAAAUUUGUUUGGACAGCAUUUUAGUUUCUUUUGUGGGGUGAUUGGUUUGGGCUGUUAUUAGUGUAUUGGACAAAUUAUUCAGGAUAUGGUGAUGAUGGCAGAAACUUGAUAAUUUGGGGUGGAUUACAAGACAACAAACGGAUCCGAAAUUUGGUUUGGUGUAUGCAUAGUUCUUGGGAUUGAAAAUUUAGUUUGGUAUUUACCUAGUUGAUGGGAUUGGAAAUUUGGUAAAAUUUGGUUUGGUGUUUGCCCAGUUCAUGGGAUCGAAAAUUUGAUUUGGUAUGUGCCCAGCUCAUGGGAUUGAGAAUUUGGUUUCGUAUAUGACACGACCCAUCCCGAAUCACCCUAAU
rnacentral:lncRNA from 1 species